GUCCAGGGGCGGGAAUCGAACCCACACCCUUCUGCUUACCGGGCAGGUGCCUUGUCCCACUCGGCUACCCUGGA